rnacentral:lncRNA from 1 species
UCUAUGCUGUCAGGCUUGUCGGGGCGAGAACUGUCAGCAUGUAAAUGUUGGGGCUACUACUAGACCCGAGUUUUUAUGUUUAUACCGGUUAGAGCUAGGUGCCCAUGGGGACUUGCCCUAGGGCUGGAAGGGCGACCAUUAAUGGAACAGUGAAGUGAUAAAAAACCGCAAGCGUGUGGGACCCCGUCAACUUUUAGGAGUGAAAAUGACGCAAUAUUCACGGGUGCCAAGUGCGCAAUGAGCGGGAUCGAAGCAAAGUGUUCGGGAGAAAAGGAUGCCCGUACGCGUGAGGGCUAACUUAUAUUGUUGAAUUUUUAGUAUUUUAAUUAAUUAUUUUAUUAUAGUUUUGUAAGUAGUAAUAAGGGGAAAAAUCAUUAAUUUUUAAAUGGUUCAAUUUGUAGCAAAAAUGCAGAGACGACUUGUUUAAAGCCAUUAUUGUGUUGUGCGAUAUGGAAUCGCAUUAAAAAUGUCCUCGUAGAUUCACUCACGAUUCACUUUAAGUGAAAAAAUGUAUAAAAUUAGGACGUAAAACUUUAAACAAGUGGGACCUAAAUAAAACAGAGCUUAAUCGGCAGGUAAUUGAUCCAAAUAUCUGUUCUAUCAUUUGUCAACUUUUACUUUGAAAUUGUAUAAUAAGUUAACUAAAAAAUGUACUUGUGUUUUUUGUGCAUAUUCUAUGAAGCAGUGAAACCACUAGUGAACUAGUAAAUAAAUAACGCUGACGAGUUACAGUA